rnacentral:rRNA from 1 species
AGCAGCCGCGGUAAUUCCAGCUCCAAUAGCGUAUAUUAAAGUUGUUGCAGUUAAAAAGCUCGUAGUUGAAUUUCGGGGUCAGUAGGCUGGUCGUGCCACAGGUACGUACUGGUCUCACUGAUUCCUCCUUCCUGAUGAACCGUAAUGCCAUUAAUUUGGUGUUGCGGGGAAACUGGACUGUUACUUUGAAAAAUUAGAGUGUUUAAAGCAGGCUAACGCUUGAAUACAUUAGCAUGGAAUAAUGAAAUAGGACGUUCGAUCCUAUUUCGUUGGUUUCUAGGAUUGACGUAAUGAUUAAUAGGGAUAGUUGGGGGCAUUAGUAUUCAAUUGUCAGAGGUGAAAUUCUUGGAUUUAUUGAAGACUAACUACUGCGAAAGCAUUUGCCAAGGAUGUUUUCAUUAAUCAAGAACGAAAGUUAGGGGAUCGAAGACGAUCAGAUACCGUCGUAGUCUUAACCAUAAACUAUGCCGACUAGGGAUCGGAUGAUGUUAAUUUUUUAAUGUACUCA